rnacentral:lncRNA from 1 species
GCUGGGCGUGGUGGCGCACGCCUUUAAUCCCAGCACUCGGGAGGCAGAGGCAGGCGGAGUUGGAGGCCAGCCUGGUCUACAAAGUGAGUUCCAGGACAGCCAGGGCUAUACAGAGAAACCCUGUCUUGAAAAACCAAAAGAAAAAAAAAAGAUUCAGGGUGGCGUAUAAGGUUUAUGUCUCGUUGGGUUAUAUUAUUUAUAACUAAGUAGCAGUUGAAAGAAACAUAUAUAUUCCUUUUUUUUUUUUUUUUUUUUUUUGGUUUUUUGAGACAGGGUUUCUCUGUGUAGCUCUGGCUGUCCUGGAACUCACUCUGUAGAC